rnacentral:rRNA from 1 species
UACGUGCGAUCAUGCCCGAUCUCAGGUCCGAGAACAGAUAUUAAGCCAUGCAUGUCUAAGUACAUGCCGAAAUAAGGCGAAACCGCGAAUGGCUCAUUAAAUCAGUUAUGGUUCCUUAGAUCGUUUCUUCCUACUUGGAUAACUGUGGCAAUUCUAGAGCUAAUACAUGCAGUGAGCCUGGAGCCCUUUGGGUAACGGGUGCUUUUAUUAGACCAAGAUCGAUCGGGUUUCGGCCCGUAUUGUGUGGUGACUCUGGAUAACUUUGUGCUGAUCGCAUGGCCACGAGCCGGCGACGUUUCUUUCAAGUGUCUGCCUUAUCAACUUUCGAUGGUAGGUUACUUGCUUACCAUGGUUGUUACGGGUAACGGAGAAUCAGGGUUCGAUUCCGGAGAGGGAGCCUGAGAAACGGCUACCGCAGCCAUCCACAGGAAGGCAGCGGCGGCGGCAAGUUACGCACUCCCGGCACGGGGAGGUAGUGACGAAAAAUAACAAUACGGGACUCUUUUGAGGCCCCGUAAUUGAAAUGAGUACACUCUAAAUCCUUUAACGAGGAUCAAUUGGAGGGCAAGUCUGGUGCCAGCAGCCGCGGUAAUUCCAGCUCCAAUAGCGUAUACUAAAGCUGCUGCGGUUAAAAAGCUCGUAGUUGGAUCUCAGUUCCAGACGAGUAGUGCAUCUACCCGAUGCGACGGCUCGGACUGAACAUCAUGCCGGUUCUUUCUUGGUGCCUGCGCUUCAUUCGUGUGCCUCGAGAUGGCCGGUGCUUUUUAGCUUUGACACAAAUCUCUAGAGUGCUGGCAACGCAGGCGAGUCCCUGAAUAACUUGGCUGGGAAUAAUAGAAGCAGAACUGCGUUCUGUUCUGUUGGUUUUUGAAUAAAACGAGCGUACAUCGAUUAAGAGGGGACGCGAGCGGGGGCAUUCGUAUUGCGGCGCUAGAGGUGAAAUUCUUGGACCGUCGCAAGACGAACUACUGCGAAAGCAUUUGCCAAGAAUGUUUUCAUUGAUCAAGAAGCAAAGUCAGAGGUUCGAAGGCGAUCAGAUACCGCCCGAUACGUUCCUGACGCCAUAAACGAUGCCAACCAGCGAUCCGCCUGAGUUACUCAAAUGACUCGGCGGGCAGCUUCCGGGAAACCAAAGUAUUUGGGUUCCGGGGGAAGUAUGGUUGCAAAGCUGAAACUUAAAGGAAUUGACGGAAGGGCACCACCAGGAGUGGAGCCUGCGGCUUAAUUUGACUCAACACGGGAAAACUUACCCGGCCCGGACACUGGGAGGAUUGACAGAUUGAGAGCUCUUUCUUGAUUCGGUGGAUGGUGGUGCAUGGCCGUUCUUAGUUGGUGGAGCGAUUUGUCUGGUUAAUUCCGAUAACGAACGAGACUCUAGCCUAUUAAAUAGGUGCGGGGUUCCCAGCACCUUACAACCUUCUUAGAGGGACAAGCGGCUCCUAGCCGCACGAAACAGAGCAAUAACAGGUCUGUGAUGCCCUUAGAUGUCCGGGGCCGCACGCGCGCUACACUGAAGGAAGCAGCGUGUCUUUAUCCCUGUCUGAAAAGACUGGGUAACCCGUGGAACUUCUUUCGUGAUUGGGAUAGGGGCUUGCAAUUGUUCCCCUUGAACGAGGAAUUCCCAGUAAGCGCGAGUCAUAAGCUCGCGUUGAUUACGUCCCCCCUGCCCUUUGUAGCACAGCGCGCCGUCGCUACUACGAUUGAAUGAUUUAGUGAGGUCUAUCGGAACGGCCGAUGUCGCGGCGGCGCGGCCUUUCGGUUGCGCCGGUCUGUUGGAAAGAUGACCAAACUUGAUCAUUUAGAGGAAGUAAAAGUCGUAACAAGGUUUCCGUAGGUGAACCUGCGGAAG